AUAGUUGUUGGCAAAGUAGGUUUUUCUGGGUGAGGCUCAUCUGUUGCACACCAGCUGUGCUGACCCUUGCAAUUUCUCCAAAUACAGGAAAUGUAACUGCAUAAUUUGUGGUAAUGGGGGAACGUGUUCAGACUUUGCCCUGG
rnacentral:snRNA from 13 species